rnacentral:rRNA from 1 species
UCCGUAGGCGGGCAGCUAAGUCAGUGGUGAAAGUCUGCAGCUCAACUGUAGAAUUGCCAUUGAUACUGGUUGUCUUGAAUUAUUAUGAAGUGGUUAGAACAUGUAGUGUAGCGGUGAAAUGCAUAGAUAUUACAUAGAAUACCAAUUGCGAAGGCAGAUCACUAAUAAUAUAUUGACGCUGAUGGACGAAAGCGUGGGGAGCGAACAGGAUUAGAUACCCUGGUAGUCC